AAAAAUCAAGCCCAUACCCGAAAAUCCAAAACCAAAAAGGAAAUAUCAGUACACUAAAAAGAAAAACCUAGCCCCAUCAUAUCCACACACCCUAAAGUUCCAUCUCCGGCGAGGUAACCUGUUCCAGUGAAAUCUCAACGGUAAAGCACAAGUGAGGAUACACAUUCGCCAUGAGCUUGAGUGAAUGCAUUUGGAUGCGCGAAACCUCUCACAGACAUCAUGAAUUCGAGCUCAAUGAAGACUUCUUCAGCUCAUUGCAAGUAUAUCAUCUCUAAAUGCUUAUGUUAGAUCAAUGGCGUUCCUAUCAACAACAAUAUUUGACGAUUUUCUCACCCUUUUCCUCCCUUUCAGCAGAAUGACCUCAACGAGCUACCACUGCUGAAAAGUCAUAAACGAGUGAUAAACCUUCUCCAAGGCAGAAUCUUCUUAGGAGAUGUAUUCCUUUCAGCAAUAGAGGCAGAUACUGGAAGCCUCUCAUAUUUACUUUCCUCUCCCUGCAUAUUUACUGGCUCUUUAUCAGCUGGAAUUGGAUAUGACAUUACUUCUCCUGAGUAUGCAGACAUUUGAAAUUGACAUUCUUCUACUAAUUGCAAAGGUUCCUGGAUGAAGAGCUCUACAUUAUUCCUCAUGAUGACCUUGCAAUUUACAAGUAUUACAGUACUUGGGCAAUUUGGCAAGUAAAUCAAUCAGCAUCUUCACUUUCGCACAACUUGGCCUAGUCUUAUUGAUGCUAGCCAUGUCCAACUGCAAUGGUUUUCCUACCGCUGCUGCCAAUGAGAAUAAUGAUUCCUUUACAAAGAAUGUUGGUAAUAGGCCUGGAAAAGAAAUCCAAGCUACCGCUUGAGUGGUUUCCUCUGUAGACUUGAAGGUUGCAUCAUAGAUGAGUGGCCUUAUUUGAUAAAAAUAUCCCUCUUUAUCCAAAAUGUAAUACAUUGUUUUACACAGGAUGUUCACAAAAUCUUCCAUAUGACUCAAUCUAAUCAAGACAUGCCUAUUGCGGAGCAAUCCAAUUUUUCAUUCACCCUUAAUGUUACAUUGUUUGGGAAUUUGUGAACGUAAUUCCUCUAGUGAAGGCCAUCCAUAGGAGAAUUUUCCAAUAACGGCGUAUUGAAGAUUCUCUAUGAUAUUCAUUUUAUGUACCUCCUCUUCGGUCCAUGUAAUUCUAGGAAUACCUUCUACAUAUUUGAGCUGUUUCA